UAUUGUUCCUGGCAGCCAAUCAGCAGGCCAAACCCACUAGACAAUUCCACUGUUUAGUCAUAAUGACAAGUUUCGCCUGUCUGUUUAUCAGAACUAAUAGGAAUAUUACUACUGCUAUGAGUCUCUUCAUCUGUAGAAUAGAGAAGCAAGUUGAAAAAUAUGAACUAGAAGAACAUAUAAAUGGCAAGAAAAACGCAACAGUGAAAGAAGGAGGGCUAUGAGAAACCAGGAUAAAAACACAAGCUUGUUAAAUCGUAACAAACUCUACAUAACGCUGUAGAUGAAUGAUGUCAGCACACUAACAUCAGAAAUUAAAACUGAAGAAGCAUGACUGUAUUGGUGAUGGGGUAAGUUGAAGCCACACUGCUCAAGGGAACUAAAAGUCCAAUCUGUGAAGCUCCAGACUCAGCAAAAGUAAUGCUGAAUUAAGUCUUUAGCAUUCUCCAAAUUAAGAGACUUAUGAGUCCCUUUGUUCCAAUAAUGAAAUUUAAAGUCCUA